AUCGCUUCUCGGCCUUUUGGCUAAGAUCAAGUGUAGUAUAAAAUACAUAUAUAAAAUACAUUUUAAAUUAUGUGCUCUCAUUCUAU
rnacentral:snRNA from 1 species